rnacentral:rRNA from 1 species
UGGGGAAUUUUGGACAAUGGGCGAAAGCCUGAUCCAGCAAUGCCGCGUGUGUGAAGAAGGCCUUCGGGUUGUAAAGCACUUUUGUCCGGAAAGAAAUCCUUGGCUCUAAUACAGUCGGGGGAUGACGGUACCGGAAGAAUAAGCGCCGGCUAACUACGUGCCAGCAGCCGCGGUAAUACGUAGGGUGCAAGCGUUAAUCGGAAUUACUGGGCGUAAAGCGUGCGCAGGCGGUUUGCUAAGACCGAUGUGAAAUCCCCGGGCUCAACCUGGGAACUGCAUUGGUGACUGGCAGGCUAGAGUAUGGCAGAGGGGGGUAGAAUUCCACGUGUAGCAGUGAAAUGCGUAGAGAUGUGGAGGAAUAUCGAUGGCGAAGGCAGCCCUCUGGGCCAAUACUGACGCUCAUGCACGAAAGCGUGGGGAGCAAACAGGAUUAGAUACCCUGGUAGUCCACGCCCUAAACGAUGUCAACUAGUUGUUGGGGAUUCAUUUCCUUAGUAACGUAGCUAACGCGUGAAGUUGACCGCCUGGGGAGUACGGUCGCAAGAUUAAAAGCUC